GACGAAUGCUGGCUGCGUGCUUAACACAUGCAAGUCGAACGGUGAACAGGGGCUUGCCCCUGGGAUCAGUGGCGAACGGGUGAGUAACACGUGGGCAACCUGCCCCUCACUCUGGGAUAACUCCGGGAAACCGGGGCUAAUACCGGAUACGACCAGGACCGACAUCGAGCCUGGUGGAAAGAACUUCGGUGAGGGAUGGGCCCGCGGCCUAUCAGCUUGUUGGUGAGGUAACGGCUCACCAAGGCGACGACGGGUAGCCGGCCUGAGAGGGCGACCGGCCACACUGGGACUGAGACACGGCCCAGACUCCUACGGGAGGCAGCAGUGGGGAAUAUUGCGCAAUGGGCGAAAGCCUGACGCAGCGACGCAGCGUGAGGGACGAAGGCCUUCGGGUUGUAAACCUCUUUCAGCGGGGACGAAGCGAAAGUGACGGUACCCGCAGAAGAAGCACCGGCUAACUACGUGCCAGCCGCCGCGGUAACAC
rnacentral:rRNA from 1 species